CACUCCUGCGGGAGGCAGCAGUGGGGAAUCUUGCGCAAUGGGCGAAAGCCUGACGCAGCCAUGCCGCGUGAAUGAUGAAGGUCUUAGGAUUGUAAAAUUCUUUCACCGGGGACGAUAAUGACGGUACCCGGAGAAGAAGCCCCGGCUAACUUCGUGCCAGCAGCCGCGGUAAUACGAAGGGGGCUAGCGUUGCUCGGAAUUACUGGGCGUAAAGGGAGCGUAGGCGGACAUUUAAGUCAGGGGUGAAAUCCCGGGGCUCAACCUCGGAAUUGCCUUUGAUACUGGGUGUCUUGAGUAUGAGAGAGGUGUGUGGAACUCCGAGUGUAGAGGUGAAAUUCGUAGAUAUUCGGAAGAACACCAGUGGCGAAGGCGACACACUGGCUCAUUACUGACGCUGAGGCUCGAAAGCGUGGGGAGCAAACAGGAUUAGAUACCCCUGUAGUCCC
rnacentral:rRNA from 1 species